rnacentral:lncRNA from 1 species
CAUAUAAUAUAAGAGUAGGUCAAGGAAGGUGUGUUUUUGUCAUAAAUGUCACCUAUACUAGAUGUCUAGUCAUUUGUGUAUUAUUUCUUUUUGAUAUCCUGCAAAAUAUGCGCCUUGUUCCGGUGCUCACGCAGGUGGUGGUGGUGGAAAGCUAGCUAGCUUUCACCAGCUUUAAUUGCAUAUCAUGUUUAUUAUAUGUACUAUAUCUAUAUUAUCCUAAUUUCUUUUGAGUACGUGCCUUUGUUUAAUAACUCGGGUGAGUGAAGGAUGUAGACGUGGAGGAUGAUUGAAGGUUUGUGCAGAUGAUGAGUAAUCCCCUUUUGGGUUCAUGCUCGGGAUGGGAAGAGUACGAGCUUGGACUUGGUCUUGGCGAUAUUCCUGGAGCAUAUUCCAUAUUUAUUCCGCACGUGCAUGGCUGA